rnacentral:rRNA from 2 species
GCAGACGGGUGAGUAACGCUUGGCAACGUAGCUUUUGGUUCGGAACAACACAGGGAAACUUGUGCUAAUAGCGGAUAAGCCCUUACGGGGAAAGAUUUAUCGCCGAAAGAUCGGCCCGCGUCUGAUUAGCUAGUUGGUAGGGUAAUGGCCUACCAAGGCGACGAUCAGUAGCUGGUCUGAGAGGAUGAUCAGCCACAUUGGGACUGAGACACGGCCCAAACUCCUACGGGAGGCAGCAGUGGGGAAUAUUGGACAAUGGGGGCAACCCUGAUCCAGCCAUGCCGCGUGAGUGAUGAAGGCCCUAGGGUUGUAAAGCUCUUUUGUGCGGGAAGAUAAUGACGGUACCGCAAGAAUAAGCCCCGGCUAACUUCGUGCCAGCAGCCGCGGUAAUACGAAGGGGGCUAGCGUUGCUCGGAAUCACUGGGCGUAAAGGGUGCGUAGGCGGGUCUUUAAGUCAGGGGUGAAAUCCUGGAGCUCAACUCCAGAACUGCCUUUGAUACUGAAGAUCUUGAGUCCGGGAGAGGUGAGUGGAACUGCGAGUGUAGAGGUGAAAUUCGUAGAUAU